AGUAGUUGCAACUAGAGUCAGUUAGUACAACAUCAUGGCUUCAAUAAUAACAAUAGCAGGGAUUCUCGUCCUAAGUUUCUGUUUUUUGGAAUUCGCCACCGGUGAACCAUUUCUUCAGGUUGUGGACGAAGUUAAACAAGAUUCCCCCGCACCUUAUGAAGGCUCGAUUGUUCCAGCGGUACAAAUGAGAACGCAAUGCUCCAUUCCCUGUAUGAAGUCAACAGUUGCUGGUGGUUGAAUAUAGUAAAUAAAUGUAAUUCAAAAAACAGUAUAAUAUUAAAUGUAUUGUACAGAAUGCAGAUCAACACAAGGUCUAUAUCAUGUUUUAUUAAUAAAGAAGAGGAGUUUUUAUUGUA